rnacentral:rRNA from 1 species
GACGAACGCUGGCGGCGUGCCUAAUACAUGCAAGUCGAACGAAGUGGGGAAGGGUGAGUAACACGUGGGUAAUCUCCCAUCAGAGGGGAUAACACUUGGAAACAGGUGCUAAACCGAUACUUCUUGAUUGACCCGGAGUGCAUUAGCUAGUUGGUGAGGUAACGGCUCACCAUGGCACGGAUGCAUAGCCCGACUGAGGGUGUGAUCGGCCACACGGGGACGGCGACACGGCCCAGACUCCGACGUGAGGCACGAUUCGGGCAUCUUCGGCAAGGGACGAAAGGGUGACCGAGCAACGCCGCGUGAGUGAAGAAGGUUUUCGGAUCGUAGAGCACUGUUGUUAGAGGAGCGGUAUCUAACCAGAAAGCCACGGCUAACUACGUGCCAGCAGCCGCGGUAAUAC